UACGGGGGGAGCAAGCGUUGUUCGGAUUUACUGGGCGUAAAGGGCGCGUAGGCGGCCAGCACAAGUCAGUGGUGAAAUCCCCGAGCUUAACUUGGGAACUGCCAUUGAUACUAUCAGUCUUGAAUACCGUGGAGGUCAGCGGAAUAUGUCAUGUAGCGGUGAAAUGCUUAGAUAUGACAUAGAACACCAAUUGCGAAGGCAGCUGGCUACACGAAUAUUGACACUCAGGCACGAAAGCGUGGGGAUCAAACAGG
rnacentral:rRNA from 1 species